rnacentral:rRNA from 1 species
UACCCAAUCCUGACACAGGGAGGUAGUGACAAUAAAUAACAAUGCCGGGCCUUUCUAGGUCUGGCAAUUGGAAUGAGAACGAUUUAAAUCCCCUAUCGAGGAUAAAUUGGAGGGCAAGUCUGGUGCCAGCAGCCGCGGUAAUUCCAGCUCCAAUAGCGUAUAUUAAAGUUGUUGCAGUUAAAAAGCUCGUAGUUGGAUUUCUGGUGGGAGCGAUCGGUCUGGCACUUUGUGUGAGUACUCGUAUUGUCUCCGGCCAUCCUUGGGCGGAGCCUGUCUGGCAUUAAGUUGUCGGGCAGGGGAUGCCCAUCGUUUACUGUGAAAAAAUUAGAGUGUUCAAAGCAGGCUUAUGCCGUUGAAUAUAUUAGCAUGGAAUAAUAAGAUAGGACCUCGGUACUAUUUUGUUGGUUUGUGUGCCAAGGUAAUGAUUAAUAGGGACAGUUGGGGGUAUUCGUAUUCAGUUGUCAGAGGUGAAAUUCUUGGAUUUACGGAAGACGAACUACUGCGAAAGCAUUUACCAAGGAUGUUUUCAUUAAUCAAGAACGAAAGUUAGGGGAUCGAAGAUGAUUAGAUACCAUCGUAGUCUUAACCAUAAACUAUGCCGUCUAGGGAUCGGCGGUCUGUCUUAUGACA